AUUAACAAAUUAAUGCUUUUUAGAAGUUAGAAGCUUCUC
rnacentral:tRNA from 1 species